rnacentral:rRNA from 1 species
AUUGAACGCUGGCGGCAUGCUUUACACAUGCAAGUCGAACGGUAACAGGCCGCAAGGUGCUGACGAGUGGCGAACGGGUGAGUAAUGCAUCGGAACGUGCCCAGUCGUGGGGGAUAACUACUCGAAAGAGUAGCUAAUACCGCAUACGAUCUAUGGAUGGAAGCGGGGGACCGUAAGGCCUCGCGCGAUUGGAGCGGCCGAUGUCAGAUUAGGUAGUUGGUGGGGUAAAGGCUCACCAAGCCAACGACCUGUAGCUGGUCUGAGAGGACAACCAGCCACACUGGGACUGAGACACGGCCCAGACUCCUACGGGAGGCAGCAGUGGGGAAUUUUGGACAAUGGGCGCAAGCCUGAUCCAGCAAUGCCGCGUGCAGGAAGAAGGCCUUCGGGUUGUAAACUGCUUUUGUACGGAACGAAACGGCUCUGGUUAAUACCCGGGGCUAAUGACGGUACCGUAAGAAUAAGCACCGGCUAACUACGUG